CACCGCCCGUCACACCAUGGGAGUGGGUUGCAAAAGAAGUAGGUAGCUUAACCUUCGGGAGGGCGCUUACCACUUUGUGAUUCAUGACUGGGGUGAAGUCGUAACAAGGUAACCGUAGGGGAACCUGCGGUUG
rfam:Oryza sativa (indica cultivar-group) chromosome 6, whole genome shotgun sequence.